rnacentral:rRNA from 1 species
AGUGAACGCUGGCGGUAGGCCUAACACAUGCAAGUCGAACGGCAGCACAGUAAGAGCUUGCUCUUCCGGGUGGCGAGUGGCGGAUGGGUGGGGAAUAACUCGGAAUCUACUUUUUCAUGAGGGCUAACGUAGGGAAACUUAAGCUAAUACCGCAUACGACCUCCGGGUGAAAGCAGGGGAUCUUCGGACCUUGCGCGAGUGAACGCGCCGUUGUCGGAUUAGCGAGUUGGCGGGGUAAAGGCCCACUAAGGCGAUGAUCCGUAGCUGGUGUGAGAGGAUGAACAGCCACACUGGAGCUGAGACACGGUACAGACUCCGACGGGAGGCAGCAGUGGGGAAUAUUGGACGAUGGGCGCAAGACUGAUCCAGCCAUACCGCGUGGGUGAAGAAGGCCUGCGGGUUGUAAAGCCCUUUUGUUGGGAAAGAAAAGCAGCAGGUUAAUACCCCGCUGUUCUGACGGUACCCAAAGAAUAAGCACCGGCUAACUUCGUG